CCUCAUGCUGGACAUGGAUGAUAUCAGUGAGUCAGUUUGUGUGUGUGUAUUGGUCUUUCUUUUAUUUAUUUAGCUAUUUCUGUCUCUCUUCAUAUGUUUUUGUCAGUCUUGCUUUCUCUCCUCCACAUUUCUACCGCUUUCCGUACUCUAAUGUAUUGAGUAAUGAGGUUAUUAAGUAUGACGCACUGAAGGAGUUUAUGGCCACGACACUGACAGUCUAAGUGUUUAUUGGAAAGCAGUCUAAAGCCAGUUCUUGGCCUCCAGUCAAAUUGAAGACUCAGCUAAGUCCGGAGAGAAUAAUUAUAAAGUCGUGAUUAGUAUCAGGACUUGGCAGAAAAUAAAAGAAUUGGGUGAAAUUAGUCAACUAACAGUAGUAGUUUUUUUUUUAUCAUACAGGGUGGACUUGUUUAGCUUCCGCUGUAAAUUUAAUAAAAUAUGUAUUCACCCGUCUCAUUCAGGCUGUGGACUUAACAUGUGAUGCGUCCAUGGAGCAGGCCCCAGUUUUUCUUUCACUCAUUUUGUUUUUCUACAAAUGUUCAAAAGAUAUCCCACAAUCAUGGGAUUAGAGGAGUAGGCAACCGUGAUACCACAUCAAGGUUGGCUUAGAAGGGGAUCUCCUGUCCUACCAGCGCGCCUGGCAGGCACCCUGUGGCCACGCUGUCAUCCAGAGCCUUUGUGUCAAAGAUAAGCGCUCCCGAAGGCCUCCCGCCCAAACAUGUGCGUGUUCGCAACCCGGCCAUUACCUGGUGUCUCUUUGUGCCGCGCUUCUGGGAACAGACCCGUGCCGGAAACCAUGCCUGCGCGACUCUAAUGGUUCACCCCAUAGUCACUUGUUUCUCGCCGUCGCUCACUGUGGUCCGCGGAGAGCUGAUGGCAGGCGGCAUUUGUGCAGGCAGCUACGGACACUGUUUUUGACGUGAUUUAACAUCAUAUUUUAAUCGAACGGGUUGCAAAAAUCUGCAUACAAACAUAGUGUAUUAGUUGAUGGUGCCCCGGGCCCCUUAGACGUACUGCGCCCCUGGGUGAGGGACCAGUUGCCCUAAUGGUUAAUCCGGCCCUGCUCAAGCAGAACUACGUUAUCAUGGCCGCGGCCCAACCGUUUGAACUUCUCUUCUAUAAUGCUAUAUUUUGUGCUGCAGCCUGCAGUUAAUAUAUGUUGAUUGCCGCACUGCUCUGCAAUGGUACCUCCAACCACAACCCCCCCCCCCCCCCCCCAACACCAAUCCCCCUGUGGUAUUCUACGCCACCCCUAGUCCUAAUCCUAAUCCUAGUCCGGACUCACUACCAGAAUAUCUCCCGCACUCAUUUUGACUGAAUCGCCCCUAGGUUAAAUUCUGAUUGGAAUAUACUGUACAAAACACACAACCAAACUCAAGACGUACCCUGUAGGUGUCCCCACCCAUGUAUGACAGAACCGCCCUUUACAGUUCUGUUAUAUAUCAUCCUCACGCGCUCCCAGCACGCCGGCUCUCUCCACUUUCUCCUGCACUUUCUUCUCAUGCAUUAGUCACAUGUCUUCACCUUGCGUUCCCCCAUCAGCGUCUAGUCCUGACAGCCGCCCUGGAUGCCCACUAUAUCCUGUAGAAUAAACUUCAUAAUGAGUAUAAUUCACUAUAUCAUGAUUGGAAUUCACUAUUUCUUGAGUAGACUCCACUUUAUACUGAGUAGAAUCGACUAUAUACUGAGUAGAAUCCCCUUUGAACAGAGCAGAAGUCCAUAUAUUGUAGAAGCCAGCCACUACUGAAAUCAUAGUUCUCUAGAGAGUUGUGAAGAUUUCAGUCUAAUCAAGUCAGCAAGUACAGUUCCCAUGAAUCCCAACCUUUCAUCACAAAGACCAGAACAUUUCAACACGUUUGAAGCUCUGUUUUAUCGUUAUUCUAUUCAAUUACUAAUUACAAAUCACUGCUACGCUCAAACUUGCAGCUCCUGGCCUAAGUUUCUGUAGUGAACGUCUGCUUUGCUUGAUGCUAUGCCCAAACGUAUGAUGAGCAGGAUACAAAACAUGCUGUCUUUCGCCAGCAGCUACUGCUGGAGUACUGGACCUGAAAGAGAUUUGCUAGAUUCUCACAUCAGGUCACAGUGUGGUUAUUAAAAGCUAGCAUGCUCAUCAUGCGGCCUUUAUGGCAGCAUGAUGUCUAGCAGGGCUGGCAGGGGCGCACCCCGCUUAAGUUGCUAACCGUUGCCCUAUGAGACAUUGAAAUCUCCAUCAGCGACUAAUAACUAAAUAAUGACUGCUUCAGCCUGAGGGUAUUUCGACGAAAUCUCUUAAGAAGAGGAUGCUUAGGCCUAAAAAAAAAAAGACAGAGAGAGAGAGAGAGAGAGAGAGACAGAGAGCUCAAUCCUGUUGGUUGUCAGUUGAGGUCAUGGGUAGGUAGGGAAUUUAUUUUCUUUUUUUCCUGCGGCAGCGAAUGUUAGGUAGGUUGUUUUCAUUUAAAAACGAGAAAAUUCGCUCAUCCUUUUACAGAAUGAAGAGAUGCUGUACACAAACAUAAUUAUAGUUUGCAUCAAUAUUAUUAUUAUUAUUAUUUAUUUUAUUUUUUUAAAGCUCAUAACAUAAUUUGGGUCGCACAUAAAUUGACAGGGUCAGUCGGAAACCGGAACCGAACAUUUUUUUUUUUUAGGCCUUACCAUAAAAUGUGUACUGUAUUGCUACUUCUAUAACAUUUUAACAUUAUCCCCAACAACAUAGCUUUAUAUUGCUAUAACAACCGAGGGAUUUUCCGGAUGUAUUCUCAGACGUGUGUUAGAGACUGGUGAGUGUAGACUGGGAGUUCAGGGCUUUGGAAAAGGAUGAUGGCUCGACUACACAUGUAUGAGCUUGAGGCAUAGCUAGGCUACCACCAACAUAAGGUGAGAAUACCAGCCAUUGUUAUCUGUUGUGUGGGUUUGUGUCUGCCACACGGUUACUGCCAACUAACGCAAGAUAUUUUGUAGUAAAAAGUGAAAACAUAUAUAUAUAUGGAAAACAAAAUCAUAUCUGUGUCAGCCAAGUGGAUGUGAAAUCCAAGCGAUGAUAUCAGAUAAAUAUAUCAUUUAUUAGAAAAGGUACAAAUGGAUCUAACAGGAUUGUAUAUCUUCUUAUUUCUUUCUAAGACACAAUUUCAUAUUGUGCUGUCGGGCCUUUGGCUGCCAUGUGCACAAACUUCCCACAUUAGGUCACAGUGUUUCACUUUCACACUUUGUCACAACUGGUCUGUCACUCAACCCUGCAUCGCCCAUGCCUCCUCCUCUCCCUCAUCUUCCUCAUCGUCACAGUAGGGCAACAACGCCUUACGUGUGCCAAAAUAAAUAGCAACCGAUGUGUAUUUUAGGUUAUAGGCCAAUGCAAAAUGUAAAUAUAUUUUAACAAAGGGUUUGUCAAAUAACAAACAAAAAAAAUUAUAUAUAAUAAUCAUAAAAGCAUAAAAACACCUGAGGGUGGUGUGGUGUUGGACGUCACGCAUGCUGGCUUCCCCCACUCACUUCAUCCUUUAACCCAGGGGUUCUCAAAGUUUUGACAACUGAGGGCCAAUUUAGGAACCCAAAACUUGACCGAGGGCCGCCAAAGGAA